rnacentral:rRNA from 1 species
CGCGUAGGCGGCGCCAUAAGUCUUGUGUGAAAGCCCCCCGGCUCAACUGGGGAGAGUCGCGAGAAACUAUGGUGCUGGAGUGUCGGAGAGGGAAGUGGAAGUCCCGGAGUAGGGGUGAAAUCCGUAGAUACCGGGCCGAACACCAGUGGCGAAGGCGACUUCCUGGCCGACGACUGACGCUGAGGCGCGAAAGCGUGGGGAGCGAAG